GGGGGCGAGUUGGUUUCGACGGGGGUCAUUGACGUCCGUGGCGCAUGCCGAGGUGCCGGUGGCCUCGUUAAACACCGGCCGUUAUAGCUGCCAACGAUACCGGCUACGCUCUGGCUGCUUAAUUAAACCUAAGUGAGCCAGCGCUGCCCUGACGGCGCCCGUAACGUCAGGUCGCAGUGUCAUAAGCUCGGGCUUGUUCCCUGUCGCCGCCCGGCCUUCAGGGGAGACUCUCAGUCGGGCUCAUCCUCCAGCUGCCCUGUCCGUGGGGUCCCUGGGGGAGACAGAAAACACGGAAUAAGCAUGUAGGGCCGCGAGGCCGAAGGCUUCCGGACGCGGGUUCGACUCCCGCCGCCUCCACCA
rnacentral:tmRNA from 1 species